rnacentral:rRNA from 1 species
UCCAGACUCCUACGGGAGGCAGCAGUGAGGAAUAUUGGUCAAUGGGCUUACGCCUGAACCAGCCAAGUCGCGUGAGGGAAGACUGCCCUAUGGGUUGUAAACCUCUUUUGUCAGGGAGCAACGCCGGCUACGUGUAGCCGGACUGAGAGUACCUGAAGAAAAAGCAUCGGCUAACUCCGUGCCGGCAGCCGCGGUAAUACGGAGGAUGCGAGCGUUAUCCGGAUUUAUUGGGUUUAAAGGGUGCGCAGGCGGAUUUUUAAGUCAGCGGUCAAAUCGUGGGGCUCAACCCCAUCCAGCCGUUGAAACUGGGGAUCUAGAGUGUGCGAGAGGUAUGCGGAAUGCGUGGUGUAGCGGUGAAAUGCUUAGAUAUCACGAAGAACUCCGAUUGCGAAGGCAGCCUACUAAACUGCCACUGACAUUGAUGCUCGAAAGUGUGGGUAUCAAACAGGAUUAGAUACCCCGGUAC